CCUACGGGUGGCAGCAGUGAGGAAUAUUGGUCAAUGGACGAGAGUCUGAACCAGCCAAGUAGCGUGAAGGAUGACUGCCCUAUGGGUUGUAAACUUCUUUUAUAAAGGAAUAAAACGAGGCACGUGUGCCUUUUUGCAUGUACUUUAUGAAUAAGGAUCGGCUAACUCCGUGCCAGCAGCCGCGGUAAUACGGAGGAUCCGAGCGUUAUCCGGAUUUAUUGGGUUUAAAGGGAGCGUAGAUGGGUUGUUAAGUCAGUUGUGAAAGGUUGCGGCUCAACCGUAAACUUGCACUUGAUACUGGCAGUCUUGAGUACAGUUGAGGUAGGCGGAAUGCGUGGUGUAGCGGUGAAAUGCUUAGAUAUCACGAAGAACCCCGAUUGCGAAGGCAGCUUACUAAACUGAGACUGACAGUGAUGCUCGAAAGUGUGGGUAUCAAACAGGAUUAGAUACCCCAGUAGUC
rnacentral:rRNA from 1 species